GGUUAAUGGAUAGAGAGAUCCUAGAGAGAGACAACAGGUUAAUGGAUGGAGAGAUCCUAGAGAGAGACAUACAACAGGUUAAUGGAUAGAGAGAUCCUAGAGAGAGACAUACAACGGGUUAAUGGAUAGAGAGAUCCUAGAGAGAGACAUACAACAGGUUAAUGGAUAGAGAGAUCCUAGAGCGAGACAUACAACAGGUUAAUGGAUAGAGAGAUCCUAGAGAGACAUACAACAGGUUAAUGGGUGGAGAGAUCCUAGAGAGACAUACAACGGGUUAAUGGAUAGAGAGAUCCUAGAGAGAGACAUACAAUGGGUUAAUGGAUGGAGAGAUCCUAGAGAGAGACAACAGGUUAAUGGAUAGAGAGAUCCUAGAGAGAGACAUACAACGGGUUAAUGGAUGGAGAGAUCCUAGAGAGAUCCUAGAGAGAGACAACAGGUUAAUGGAUGGAGAGAUCCUAGAGAGAUCCUAGAGAGAAACAACAGGUUAAUGGGUGGAGAGAUCCUAGAGAGAUCCUAGAGAGAGACAGCAGGUUAAUGGGUGGAGAGAUCCUAGAGAGAGACAACAGGUUAAUGGGUGGAGAGAUCCUAGAGAGAUCCUAGAGAGAGACAACAGGUUAAUGGGUGGAGAGAUCCUACAGAGAUCCUAGAGAGAUCCUAGAGAGAGACAACAAGGUUAAUGGAUAGAGAGAUCCUAGAGAGAGACAUACAACAGGUUAAUGGAUAGAGAGAUCCUAGAGAGAGACAUCAGGUUAAUGGGUGGAGAGAUCCUAGAGAGAUCCUAGAGAGAGACAACAGGUUAAUGGGUGGAGAGAUCCUAGAGAGAUCCUAGAGAGAGACAACAGGUUAAUGGAUGGAGAGAUCCUAGAGAGAGACAUACAACAGGUUAAUGGAUAGAGAGAUCCUAGAGAGAGAACAACAGGUUAAUGGAUGGAGAGAUCCUAGAGAGAGACAUACAACAGGUUAAUGGAUAGAGAGAUCCUAAGAGAGACAUAAAACGGAUUAAUGGAUAGAGAGAUCCUAGAGAGAGCCUACAGAGACACAACAGGUUAAUGGGUGGAGAGAUCCUAGAGAGAUCCUACAGAGACACAACAGGUUAAUGGGUGGAGAGAUCCUACAGAGACACAACAGGUUUGUGGAAUUUCUUUCCUUCUUAAUGCAUUUGAGCCAAUCAGUUGUGUUGUGACAAGGUAGGGGUGGUAUACAGAAGAUAGUCCUAUUUGGUAAAACACCAAGUCCAUAUCAUGGCAAAAACAGCUCAAAUAAGCAAAGAGAAACUACAGUCCAUCAUUACUUUAAGACAUGAAGGUCAGUCAAUCAGGAAAAUUAAGAACUUUGAAAGUUGCUUCAAGUGCAGUCGC
rnacentral:lncRNA from 8 species